CGGAGAUAGCUGGUUCUCCCCGAAAUAGCUUUAGGGCUAGCCUCAUAUUAGAUACCCGGAGGUAAAGCACUGAAUGGCCUAGCGCCCGAGAGGGUAGCGAAGCCUAUCAAACUAAGAAUGCCGGAGUAUCGAUGUAUGGGAGUCAGACAGUGUGAGAUAAAUCUCAUUGUCAAAAGGGAAACAGCCCAGAUCUACAGCUAAGGUCCCAAAUUGUAUCUAAGUGGAAAACGAUGUGGAAAUACGCAGACAACCAGGAUGUUGGCUCAGAAGCAGCCACUCAUUUAAAGAGUGCGUAAUAGCUCACUGGUCGAGAGACCCUGCGCCGAAGAUUACCGGGGCUAAAGUACGAAACCGAAGCUGUGGCUACGACGUAAGUCGUGGGGUAGGGGAGCGUUCUGUGAGGGCUGAAGUCGUUCUGUAAGGAACGGUGGACUUCACAGAAGUGAGAAUGUUGGUAUGAGUAGCGAAAAGAAUGGUGAGAAUCCAUUCCACCGAAAGCAUAAGGAUUCCUGGGCAACGAUCGUCGUCCCAGGGUAAGUCGGGACCUAAUCCGAGGCAUGGAGCGUAGGAGAUGGACAACUGGCAGAUAUUCCAGUACCGGUAAUGAUUGUUUGAGCGAUGGAGUGACACAGGAGGGCAGGCAGGCAGGAGAUUGGUUGUUCCUGUACAAGCGUGUAGGGUGGAACGUAGGCAAAUCCGCGUUCUGAGAGCCUGAGGCGUGAUGUGGAGGUUCCGGAAACGGAACCGAAGCUGCUGACCCCACACUGUCGAGAAAAGCUUCUAGUUAGAGAAUUACCGCCCGUACCGUAAACCGACACAGGUAUGCGGGGAGAGAAUCCUAAGGUGCGCGGGAGAACCCUCGUUAAGGAACUCGGCAAAAUGUACCCGUAACUUCGGGAUAAGGGUAGCCGCUGUUGUGAAGUCUGCACAGACGGAGCAUGAGGCGGUCGCAGAGAAGAGGCCCAAGCGACUGUUUACCACAAACACAGGUGCCUGCUAAAGAGAAAUCUGACGUAUAGGUGCUGACACCUGCCCAGUGCCGGAAGGUUAAGGAAGGAUGUCCGGAGCAAUCCAAAGCAUUCGACCGAAGCCCCGGUGAACGGCGGCCGUAACUAUAACGGUCCUAAGGUAGCGAAAUUCCUUGUCGGGUAAG
rnacentral:rRNA from 1 species